rnacentral:rRNA from 1 species
UACGUAGGGUGCAAGCGUUGUCCGGAAUUAUUGGGCGUAAAGAGCUCGUAGGCGGUUUGUCGCGUCUGCUGUGAAACCGAGGCUCAACCUCGGCCUGCAGUGGGUACGGGCAGACUAGAGUGCGGUAGGGAGAUUGGAAUUCCUGGUGUAGCGGUGGAAUGCGCAGAUAUCAGGAGGAACACCAAUGGCGAAGGCAGAUCUCUGGGCCGUAACUGACGCUGAGGAGCGAAAGCAUGGGGAGCGAACAGG